AACUCCUGCAUUGUCUGGCAAAGCUCCAGAAGUGCCUAAUCACAUGCAUGAACUGAAGAAAUAUGACAGACCCAAAUGCAGAUGACAGGAGCAGAGACGGAGGCCACUGGGCACGGGAGAGAUUUGGGAUGGAGAGCUGGUGGGCCUUUCUCUGUUUUCCACAUCUGAAAGGCUGACUUUAGGCACAGUAUUUAUGAACUUUAGCAAUAUGCACGAAUCAAAUGAGCUGAAAAAUCAGACCGGGCAGAUAAAAGUAAAAUCAUCUUACUGAAAUUCCUGGAAACAACAGUUUCAGCCAUUUGACAUAUAAACUAGAAGAUUUGGUGCCCAGCAUGAAGAAUAGUUCAAGUACCUGUGUGUCCCGAAUUUAUUCCUUCCAGUGAGUUCUUGGUCUCGCUGACUUCAGGAAUGAAGCCUUGGACCCUCGUGAUGUGUGCUCACCCUUCUCUGCUCAGCUCUGUGCCUGGGAGGCUGACCUCUACAGACUGCAUCACCAGGCUUCCGCCCUCUGGCUUCCAGAUGGAUUUGGCCAAUGGGCAGCACCAGUGGGAAAGGAGAGGACAGGAGGAGAGACAGGCUGAGGUCAUGUAUUUAUCCCCUUCUUCCCUACCCCAUGGCAGUUCUGACAGGCAGCCCCUCCGUUUCUCCAGCUCUCAGCUAAGCUCCACUAACAAGCUUCCUUCUCUUUCCCCUUUAGGGUUGGGGUGGCAAGAGCCACCACCUGGGUGUCUCACUAUAUCUUGUUGGCUUCCCUAAUCCUGCCUACAUUAAUCAUUUUUUUAAAUUUCAAACUCUGUUGAUGCUUCCAUUUGUUUCCCGAGGAAUCCUGGCUAAUGGAGCAAGCUUGGACACAUUCCUUCAUUCCACAGGUCCUCAGUUUAUUUAGCUGUAAAAUGAAGGGCCUGAGCAGCCUUUCCCAAAGUGGAUUCUGCACAUCAGUCUCACCAUAUUCCAUUUUGUAUUCUGUGGUCAAAUAUGUUUGAGAAACACUGAAUAUAAUGUCCCCUUUUGGAGAGCCACAAUUUGUGGCACCGUAUCAACAACUCUGAGAGGUCCUGAAGUAGAUGCACCUGUUUUACCCUGUUUAGCUCAGCAUUUCCCAAAUAUAGUUAACAAUGGAACCACUGUUUUUUGCUUGUUUGCUUUUGCAGAAAACCCUAAUAACACAUAAAAAACACCAGAUCAAGUUGGGCCAUGUAUGGCAUUGUGUUAUUCUGUGGAAAGGUAUUCAUUGCAUAUUUUUGAAUAUUUUCUGGUGGCCCCUCAAUCCUGAAGUCUCAAAUUUCCCACCCGUGUGGCUCAGCUUGCUCUAGGCACAACAAUGGAAUUCUAUUUCUCUGACCUCAGUCCAAUGUUGAGCUUCUCUUCUGACCGUGACUUUGUCGUGGUAAAGAAGUAUCCCUCUAAUUAAAAUCAGGAUUGAAAAUAGAAUUCCAGGAAUAGCUGAAUGCACAAUACACAUUUACAUACAGCACAAUUGCAUCCAAGCCCCAUGGAGUGUGGUGGUGCAAAGUAAGGUGUGAAUCCCACUGAAACUUUCUGAAAGUGUGUGGUUGUCAUGAACAACACUGACAAAUCUGAGGCCCUCCUUGCUUCCUGUUACAAUAAGUAACUACCUUUUCUUCUUUCUCUUUUGGAGACAGAUUGGAGUGCAGUGGCACGAUCUCAGCUCACCGUAGCCUUGACCUCCCAGGCUCAAGAGAUCCUCUCACCUCAGCCUCCUGAGUAGCUGGGACUACAGGCACAAACCAAAUGCCCAGAAAAUUUUUUUCUUGUGAGAGCUGGCCUCCCUCCUCCUGUGCCCCUGACAUACAGUGACAGUGCUGCCCUGCAGGAUGGCGUAUCAGAGAGCUCAGGAUGGAUGCAGUCAAGGACGACAGCCCAUGUCAAAAAGGCUGCCUUGCUGAACAUUUGCCCAGCAGAAGAUUUUAGAAAGAAAGGAAACAUCUUAGUGAUUUUCUUGCCUCCAGAAGAUUCCCUGAUCCAAUCUUUCCUUGGCACAAACUUUAGUUAUUGUGUUUACAUAUACAUUUUAUAUAUGCAUGGUCAUUAUUGUAUCUCUUUUAUUUGGGGACUUUAUCUUGAUGUGUGUUAUACCUAAUACACUGCAAUAUAAAUUAUGUAA